UCUGAGGUGAAGGACUCACCUCGCAGCGUCCCAGCACAGAACAACAUCGCGACCGCUUGAGACAACAGUCCAGGACCUUACUGGUGUCAUCAACCCCGGAUCAACUGCAGCCACAAUGUUUAAGUGAAGUGCUUAUGUGUCUUAUGGGGUUAAAAUGGUAACAUCUUGCAGAUAUGGACUGGGACUAACUUGUCAUAGCCACGAU